UACGUAGGGGGCUAGCGUUGUCCGGAAUCAUUGGGCGUAAAGAGCGUGUAGGCGGCCCGGUAAGUCCGCUGUCAAAGUCAAAGGCUCAACCUUUGAAUGUCAGUGGAUACUGCCGGGCUAGAGUCCGGAAGAGGCGAGUGGAACUCCUGGUGUAGCGGUGGAAUGCGCAGAUAUCAGGAAGAACACCAACGGCGAAGGCAGCUCGCUGGGACGGGACUGACGCUGAGACGCGAAAGCGUGGGGAGCGAACAGG
rnacentral:rRNA from 1 species